rnacentral:rRNA from 1 species
GAUGAACGCUGGCGGCGUGCCUAAUACAUGCAAGUCGAGCGAACAGACGAGGAGCUUGCUCCUUUGACGUUAGCGGCGGACGGGUGAGUAACACGUGGGUAACCUACCUAUAAGACUGGGAUAACUUCGGGAAACCGGAGCUAAUACCGGAUAAUAUUUCGAACCGCAUGGUUCGAUAGUGAAAGAUGGCUUUGCUAUCACUUAUAGAUGGACCUGCGCCGUAUUAGCUAGUUGGUAAGGUAACGGCUUACCAAGGCAACGAUACGUAGCCGACCUGAGAGGGUGAUCGGCCACACUGGAACCGAGACACGGUCCAGACUCCUACGGGAGGCAGCAGUAGGGAAUCUUCCGCAAUGGGCGAAAGCCUGACGGAGCAACGCCGCGUGAGUGAUGAAGGUCUUCGGAUCGUAAAACUCUGUUAUUAGGGAAGAACAAACGUGUAAGUAACUGUGCACGUCUUGACGGUACCUAAUCAGAAAGCCACGGCUAACUACGUG